AACAUAUUUAAUCAAGGACCUAGGCAAGCCCUUUCAUGCUUUGAUUAUUGAUUAAGGAAAGAAAAUUUAAAACUGACUAAAUCAAAUGAAACCAUCUAAACUAAUUUUAUUAAUCCAAAUUCUAAACUAGCUUUUAUAAUGACUGAAAACUAACUACUAGCAUAAUAACUAUAAGAAUUAAGGGCCAAUUACCCCAAGCUAAUUUCAAUACUACAAAAAGUGGAAAAAGGACCCCUAAUUAGAGACCCAUUAUCUUAACCAACAGGUAUGUUUGAUGUAAGAGAUCCUUUAAUAGAGAUAACGGGUCUCUUAUAAGCCCUUGGGCCCACAAAUUUAUUGAUAGGAGUGAGAUAAGAAAGCCAUUGUAAGAGCAACGGGUCUCUUACCUUCCUUUUUCACUUCUCAAUUAUUUAUGCGUGUUGUUGUACGCUACCAUCCUUUUGCUCAAUCUCUCUCCUCUGCAUCACUUUGUUUAUCACCGACAUUCCUUUGCUAAUUUUUUUCCUCAAAAACUCAUUUCUCAUUCACCUCCAAUUUAUGGCUUCAUCUCCUUAUUUUCCACCUUCAUCAACGACUUCUUCGAGCAUAUGCAUGCUCCUUGUAUUUUGAGAAGUCUCAACCUUCAAGAUCCCUCUUUGCUUAUCCUCCGACGACAGUUUCAAAGUGCUUUAGUGCAAUUAGAUCUAGAUUUAAUCAUUCAAGGUUAUGCUAUUGAUAAUCAUGGAAGGAAUACAGAGUACAAGAUACACUAUUAAUGUAUGGUUGUAUGGAGUAUAUACUUGUAAAUUAUUCAAUAAGCUACCAAUUGUAAAUUCUAGUAAUUAUUUUGUAAAUUUCAAUAAUUAAUCUAUGUUGGUUUGUUUAAUUAUAUAUUCAAAGUUUACAUUUUAUUCAGUCAA